rnacentral:sRNA from 1 species
GUUUCAAUUCCUCAUAGGCAGGCUAUCGGCUUUUUUCCUUCUCGAAAUAUUUCAGAACUGGCACGAG